rnacentral:lncRNA from 1 species
CUUUCUACUUGUCUUCUAUUUAUUUAUAAUAUUGAUAUCAGCAUUCGCUAAGAACAGACAGAAGAGGAACGUUUCCACCUGGCCACAUGAUUGGCACGAAGGCACAUGGUCCAAGACAGGUUUCAAUUCCAUGUGGUCGGUUGACUGGAGACCUCACAUUUUUUCCUAUGGCAUUUCCAUGACAUGGUAUCUGCUUUCCUUUGGACAAAUGACAGAGACCCAGUGAGCAAGAGAGUGCCUAAGACAAAACCACAGACUUCUGAUAACAUAAUUCUGAAAAUAACAUCACUUCUGCUAUACACUGUUGGUCACACAUGCCAACCCUGGUACAGUGUGGGAGGGGACUACACAGAAGUGUGAAUUCUAAGAGCCAAGGAUCACUGGGCGUUACCUUGGAAACUGACUACUGCAAGGCCCUAGAUGCAUCCAUCUUUAAAUAUGCCUGAAUAUUUCCCUGCAUUUAAAAGUUAAAAUAACAAGUAUCUUUCUGGUUUAAGUUUGUUUGUCCCCUAUAGUGAUCAAGGUGUGUUUGUUUGUUUGUUUUUCCUUAUUCUAUAAACCUAAAAAACACAAAAUCCGAUUAUGGUGGUUUGAAGAGAAGAGGGUGAUCAAGGGAGGGAACUCAGGAGUGUGUAUUAGUCUCCAUAAGUAGUCAAAUGGAGUGGAGGGCAUCAAGAAAUAAGAUUUGUGCAGCUCAAGAAAGGAAUGAAGUUAAGCUGAGUUCCUGCCAGCAAAGAGGACAAAUAAAGGUGUUUCAUAUUGAUCUAUCUCUGAUCAGAGAUGAGACACUGGACAUAGAAUUAAAGCAGACUCUAUGUCAGGUUAAGUUUAUUUUCCCAUGUAGGUUUAAAGAGCAGAAAAUAGGAAUCAGAAGUACAGUUGAGACAAAUUGUACAAGAUAAUAAGACUUCAAUGGGAUCCAAUACAAGCACUGAAACUACUCAAGAAUAUCUGUUAUUGGAAAGUUCAAGUAUGAAAAAUGCAUGUUUAUUAUAAUAAUAUAAAACACAUUUGCUAUUUAAUAGCUACAGCUACACAGUGGUUGAGACUUUCUGAGAAAAUGUGAAUAAAUCACACCAACCAAGCCCAGAAUAAAAUACAGUUAUAAUAUAAGAAUAUCAUUAGGAUUUGUCUUAUGGCAAUAAAUCAUUUUAAUAAAACUGCUGUUAACAAUGCACACUGAAUAGCUUAAGUUUUUUUCCCCUCUAGGAGUUCUUGAAAUAAACUUCUU